rnacentral:rRNA from 1 species
UACGGAGGUGGCAAGCGUUGCUCGGAAUCACUGGGCGUAAAGGGCGCGUAGGCGGGGAGGUAAGUCGGGUGUGAAAUCCCUCGGCCCAACUGAGGAACUGCGCUCGAGACUGCUUCUCUUGAGUCCCGGAGAGGAAGAUGGAAUUCCCGGUGUAGCGGUGAAAUGUGUAGAGAUCGGGAGGAACACCGGUGGCGAAGGCGGGUUGCUGGGCCGACACUGACGCUGAUGCGCGAAAGCCAGGGAGCGAACGGG